rnacentral:rRNA from 1 species
UCGCGAAAACUUCACAAUGGGGAAACCCCGAUGAGGGAAUUCCAAGUGCCAGCACAUUGUGUUGGCUGUUCUCUGGUCUAAAAAACCGGAGAAGUAAGGGCCGGGUAAGACGGGUGCCAGCCGCCGCGGUAAUACCCGCGGCCCAAGUGGUGGUCGAUAUUAUUGAGCCUAAAACGUCCGUAGCCGGUCUUGUAAAUCCUUGGGUAAAUCGACCAGCUCAACUGUUCGAAGUCCGGGGAGACUGCAAGACUUGGGAUCGGGAGAGGUGAGAGGUACUUCUGGGGUAGGGGUAAAAUCCUGUAAUCCUAGAAGGACCACCGGUGGCGAAGGCGUCUCACUAGAACCGAAUCCGACGGUGAGGGACGAAGCCCUGGGGCGCAAACCGGGAUUAGAAACCCGAGU